CAGGGUGUUCGAACACAGGCAUGUGAGACCCUGAAAUACUCUGCGGCUUCAUCAGGCUUGAGAGAACAGACACAGCAUCCCCCUUUGCUGGCUGUGGAAGGAGCUGAUAGUAAAUCACAAGUCUGUUGCCUGAAAACACACUGCAAAUGAGAAGAGAUUUCCUCUGCGCAGGAUUUGCAGUUUGUGUAGAAAGUGUCUGUGAUACCUCUGCACCACAGGGAGAGGGGGCAUCAUGUUGUUGUCUCCAGCUAUAAAAGCGCUCUCGCACUGUUUUGUUCCAGCGGGUGAAUUAGCAAAUUGGAUUUGCUCCCAGGAGUAAAAUAUUCAUUUAUCAUUUCAUGGAAAACCCGACUGCCGUGUAAGAUGUGCUGUUGCCUGCUCCACAUCUGUUUGCGGUGAGCUACGAUGUGUUCCUCAGGAAGCUUUUAUCUCAGAAAUAAUGAUGGACACGCAGAAGCAACUGACCACGCAGAGCGGCUCUUGGCUGGUAUGUCCAUGCUAAAAUCCACUCUUGUGCUGUGCAAGUGUUAAGGCGGCAUUUACCUCGUUAACGCCGGCAAUGCGGGAGUGCAAACCAGAGGAAAGCCUGCAAAGCCACGUCUGCAACCACAUCUCAACAACGGGCUGAUUCUGCCUCGAAAUACGCCACAUCUUCAUUUGCUCAGCUCGUGUCCCUCCUGCCUUGGCCUCAAGCUGCAAAAUUCACCCUGUAACUGCCCGGAGAGCUGGCGGUACAGGAUCUGUGAGCGAUACAAACAUCAGGAUCCUCACUGGUGUCUCUCUGGGGGACAGAUGUUUAGAGAAGGUGUGGAAUUUAUGAUGUAAGUGAAGAUGUCAAGAGCUUGUUAAUCGAUAUCACCCCAAUCACUUUUCCUUUUAAAAAGCCAUGCAGGUGCCUGUAUUGGUUUGCUUUCUCCUGCUGCUCCUAGGAGUCGGGGGAUUUCUAACGUCCACCAGCGAUGUCCACAGGAAAUCACCUGAAAAAGUCUGUGGAUUCCUGGUAAAAACUACAGAAUGGCUGCUUAUGUGAGAAUAACUGUGGCUAACAAGGUCAGGUGGCCUGACCUUUAGUUUUUGGAAGUUCUAAGAGCACACAUGAGGUUUUAUGAGAUAUUUCACUUGCUUAAAAA
rnacentral:lncRNA from 1 species